UACGGGAGGCAGCAGUGGGGAAUAUUGCACAAUGGGCGAAAGCCUGAUGCAGCUAUGCCGCGUGUAUGAAGAAGGCCUUAGGGUUGUAAAGUACUUUUCAUCGGGGAGGAAAAACAAAACUAAUAAUUUUAUUUCUUGACGUUACCCGAAAAAGAAGCACCGGCUAACUCCGUGCCAGCAGCCGCGGUAAUACGGAGGGUGCUAGCGUUAAUCAGAAUUACUGGGCGUAAAGAGCACGUAGGUGGUUUUUUUAAGUCAGAUGUGAAAUCCCUGGGCUUAACCUGGAACUGCAUUUUGAAACUGAAAUACUAGAGUAUCGUAGAGGGAGGUAGAAUUCUAGGUGUAGCGGUGAAAUGCGUAGAUAUCUGGAGGAAUACCUGUGGCGAAAGCGGCCUCCUAAACGAAUACUGACACUGAGGUGCGAAAGCGUGGGGAGCAAACAGGGAUUAGAUACCCGU
rnacentral:rRNA from 1 species